rnacentral:rRNA from 1 species
UGACCAGACUCCUACGGGAGGCAGCAGUGGGGAAUAUUGGGCAAUGGAGGAAACUCUGACCCAGCAACGCCGCGUGAAUGAUGAAGGUCUUCGGAUUGUAAAGUUCUUUUCUAAGGGAAGAAGAAAGUGACGGUACCUUAGGAAUAAGCCUCGGCUAACUACGUGCCAGCAGCCGCGGUAAUACGUAGGAGGCAAGCGUUAUCCGGAAUGACUGGGCGUAAAGGGAGCGUAGGCGGCCUGCCAAGUCUGAUGUGAAAUACCGGGGCUCAACCCCGGGGCUGCCGUUGAAACCGGAGCGCUAGAAUUCCGAUGCCGUCGGAGGAAUGUGUGGUGUAGCGGUGAAAUGCAUAGAUAUCACACAGAACACCGAUUGCGAAGGCAUCUGACGAAUCGGAGAUUGACGCUGAUGCACGAAAGCGUGGGUAUCGAACAGGAUUAGAUACCCCCGUAUU